UGCCUACGGGGGGCAGCAGUGGGGAAUAUUGCACAAUGGAGGGAACUCUGAUGCAGCGACGCCGCGUGAGUGAAGAAGUAAUUUGUUAUGUAAACCUCUUUUGUCGGGGAACAAAGGCGCCCACGGGUGGGCGGAUGAGUGUACCCGAAGAAAAAGCAUCGGCUAACUCCGUGCCAGCAGCCGCGGUAAUACGGAGGAUGCGAGCGUUAUCCGGAUUUAUUGGGUUUAAAGGGUGCGUAGGCGGACAGUCAAGUCAGCGGUAAAAAUGCGGUGCUCAACGCCGUACAGCCGUUGAAACUGGCAGU
rnacentral:rRNA from 1 species